CAGCACUUUAAAAUGGAAGCACCAACGCUGGCAUCAGCAGAGUCCUUCAAAGAAUUUGAUUCAGUGGAGGCCAACUCAACAAAAUAGAAAGCCCCAGAUGGACAGCCAUUGGCUGCACCUGGAGCAGACAAUUGAGAGGCCUGGCUCAUGGAUGGGUUUGAACCACCUCAGGACUGAAGAUGAGCGGCUCAGUUUCACUAACAACAAGAACAGUGACAAAUUCCCUGCCCGGCCCAAGCUCUGUGGUCCUUAUGCAGGUAGAGUCCUCAUGCUGAAUGUUUGCAAGCUGACUCUUCAAUAAGACCGUGAGCUCCUUGAGAAAGGAAUUGGGUCUCUGUGCAGUGUAUCACAUCUACCUCAAUGCUCUGCUUAGAGGAAGUGUUUGAAAAUUUUUUGUGUGAUAAAUAAUAAUACUAAUCCAGUUAAGAUAUACUGCCCUCGGUAUGAAAAACUCUAUCCCAAGGUGGAGCAGGAGGCUGAAUAGAAGACUGAUAGCCUGGAGGAAUAAGAAGCCACAGGUGGAAUGAGCUAGAGUCCUGAGGACUGGGCAGAGCAGAAAAUCUCUCCCUCCCCACUACCAUCACCUACUGACUCACUGUGACCUGAACAACAAAUACGCUUUUACUGGCCUAAGCUACUAACUUUUAUGCUUGUGGAAGCACUGAACCAAUCUUGAUAAAGUAUAAAGCUGGAGGAGAAAGAAGGUAAGGCUGCUCUGUUUAGGGGCCUGAAAUGGAAGAUUAAAGAAUUUGUUACUUUCUUAUAAGAAAAAUGGGUUGCUGCAGUCUGUUGAGCAAGAGAGGGACCUAGUGUUCCAUCAAAGCUGCACCCUGGCCUGUGAAAGGGAUUAGAGGGAGCAAGGCUGGUGGCUAGAGGUGCUAGAGUAGUAGGAAGCUAUCACUGUCAUGCAAGGGGGAAGGAGGAGGCCUGGACAGAGAUGACGGGAGAAAUGGGCUUGAAAGAUGAGAUAGCCAAGACUGAGCAGGAAGGGUCUGCAGAGCAUGGUGUCUGACAGGAUGUGGAGGAUGAGGGAAAGCCUGGAGGGCCAUUGCUGUGGCUUGAAUGUGUUCCUCAAGACAUUAUGUAUUGGAAAAUUAAUCCCCAGUGCAACAGUGCUGGGACAUGGGGCCUAAUGAUAGGUGAUUAGGCCACAAUGGCUCUGCCCUCAUAAAUGGAUUAAUGCCGUUAUCACAGAAGCUGGUUUGUUAUUGCAGGAGUAGGUUCCUUAUAAAUGGAUGAGUUUGGGCCCCUCUUGCUGUCCCUUGCUCCUCUGCCUUCCACCAUGAGAUGACACAGCAUGAAGGCCCUCAGCAGAUGCUGACCCCUCAAUCUUGGACUUUCCAGCCUCUAUAAUUGUGAGACAAUAAACUUUUGUUCAUUAUAAAUUACCCAGUCUAUGGUAUUCAGUUAUAACAGCACAAAACAGACCAAGACAGUCAUCAAGAUUAUUGGGAGUCUUGGAGGAAAAGCCAGUUUGGGAGAAAGAUUAUGCCUUCUUGUUGGAAUAUAUGAGCUUGAGCUGGCUGAGAACUAUGGGAAGAUGCCCAGGUACAACUGGAAAUUUCACCGUGGAGCUGAGGAGUGGACCAGAGCCAGAAGUGACUGUCUAGAACGAAGCCCACCCUGCCUUCCCUGAGCCAAUCUCUAAGACCCCUUAGGAAUAGAUACACCAAAAAUACUCUGAUCCCAGAUGUAGACCUGCACUCCAGUGUAAAGUCAACUUCACAAUUUUUCAACAAACAUUCUCAGAGGUAGAGAUGGACUAAAAGGUAGAGUCAAGUUUUACUGGAAAAAUGCUUGAUGGGUGAUGAGGAGGUGACCCUCAUCCGAUAGUGAACCCAGUCUGGUCUCGGUAUUCAUACUUUUGACAAAAAGGAAGAGACAAAGGAGAGACACAUUCCAGCAUGUGGUUGGUGCAGAAUGACAACAGGCAAUCCAACCACAAAAGAUAGGAAUGUGAUCUUGGCCCUGAGGAGAAGAACAGCAAAUACUCUUUGGCUCUGGGUGAAUUUAGAAAUGAAAGAGAAGCCACAUGUAAAUUUCACUAGCACUUUCACAGUGAUAAAUGAAAAUACUUUCACAAUAAAUGAGGUGCUACUAAAUAAACAAAUCACUUGAAAAUGUACUUGUGGGAUAGCGGAGAUAAAUUAAAAAACAGGUUAAAGUAACAUCUGUAUAUUAACAUCAUCAUAAAACAAGUUGGUAAUGGGGGGUAGCAUGCAAAGUACUAUGAAACAAUAAUCAGAAACUUUAUGUCAAUUAUUGAAAACCAUGACAUUGAUUGAGAGGUAUUACUCAGUCUCUGAUGUUUCUGCAGCACGUUUUUCCCAACUGGGUUUAUAAGAAGUGUCUAUUCAACGCUGAUAAAUACCCUUAAAUUCUAUCACAAUAUAAUCUGCCUUAGGAAGACUACAUGUUGAAUUGAUUCUUAUGACAUGAUGGCUCAAUGAUUUCUCACUGUCCUAGAGUGGUUGAAUAGCCA
rnacentral:lncRNA from 1 species